rnacentral:rRNA from 1 species
UACGAAAGGUGCAAGCGUUACUCGGAAUCACUGGGCGUAAAGCGCACGUAGGCGGACUCGUAGGUCAGUUGUGAAAUACCUGGGCUCAACCCGGGAACUGCAGCUGAAACCGCUUGUCUUGAAUACCUGAGAGGGUGGGGAAUACCUGGUGGAGAAGUGAAAUUCGUAGAGAUCAGGUGGAACACCGGAGGCGAAGGCGCCUGCCUGGCAGUGUAUUGACGCUGAGGUGCGAAAGUGCGGGGAGCAAACAGG